rnacentral:tRNA from 1 species
UGAUAUACUAGUUCAAUGAUAGAGCAUUUACCUAGCAUGCACAAGGCCCUGGGUUCAAUCCCCAAUAUUUCAA